GUUUUAAUAGUUUAAUUAAAACAUUGGUCUUGUAUACCAAAAAUAAAUUUUUAAUUUUUAAAACU
rnacentral:tRNA from 1 species